rnacentral:rRNA from 1 species
ACGUAGGCAGCAAGCGUUGUUCGGAGUUACUGGGCGUAAAGGGUGUGUAGGCGGUUUGGUAAGUCUGGUGUGAAAUCUCCCGGCUCAACUGGGAGGGUGCGCCGGAAACUGCCGGACUCGAGUGCGGGAGAGGAGAGUGGAAUUCCAGGUGUAGCGGUGAAAUGCGUAGAUAUCUGGAGGAACACCGGUGGCGAAGGCGGCAUCCUGGACCAAUACUGACGCUGAGGAGCGAAAGCCAGGGGAGCAAACGGGA